UCUCCCACGCACGUUGUCCAUUAUGCUAUUAAAUCCUUAUGAAUGAGUACGGUUGGAUUUGAAUUUUGUAUUUUUAUAUUUUAGCAGUUGUUGAAUUGACUUAUGGCCUUUGAGCUCAUGGGCCCUAAUAAAGUGAGAUUCGGUCCGAUUCCUUUAGUGAAUAUCCGACCUAGCACUCUCUUCUCCUUUUGAUAUCUUCUGAUUUUUAAUAAUAUUUUAUUUAACAUUUUAAUUUUAAUCUUUAACUCGCCAUUCAAAUCUAUUCUUAAAGUGAAGUCAAACCCCAGAUUGUCUUUAAUUUGCAGGACAAUGGAAGAUGGAAGCCAAUUUAAUGAACAUGGUUUUCCCAUAGACCACAUAUGGUGACUUGUAACAACUAGUUCAGAGUUCCCCUUGCUCUGAGGGGGUUCUCUGAAUGCAAUGAUCGACACAAGCUGAUGUAACUUCUAUCAUGAAACAGAGGUCUGCGCUAGCCGAAUUCUGAUUGAGAUGUUCCCAUUGGCUUGGGAUGGUAAUAGAUUGAUCAAAUAUGAACAGAAGGCACUGCCACAAACCUCCUAACAUAUAGAGAAACUGGCACAACUGUACAAGAAAAAAGAUUAUGAACUUGCAUCAUGAUUAAACUCACCUAUGGAUAAUGGCGGAGUGUUUGCCUUUCUUUCAUGUUGUGAUAGAUGUUCACCAAUUUGGACCUGAUGAUGGCUGAUUUGUAAUUUAUACCCUUAGCCAUGGAUAUGUCUUUUUGCAAAUGAGUGCAAAGAUGAAGUAUUCCUGACAUCAGUGGUUUUGCUUUGAAGCCAUCCUCGUCUGCCCACACUGAUGGGAGAAAAGAUUUCUUCCUUAACAAGCCUGACUCCGGGAUUUAAUUGCAUUGAAGAAAUUUUUUUGGGGAUGUAACAAACUCCAUACUGGAAACAUGAAGUAUGCUUAAAGUCUGCCCUGGCCAGAGUACGCAAUGAUCAGAUAAAACAUCUCGAUCUCUCUGUGAAUAUUGUAGUUCUUGUUGGUGCACUCAUACUGAACAGCAUGCCAGCAACGAUGGUUGGCCUUGAUAAUUGAAUUGAAGAAUGCUUAAUUUACGUGCAAAGGGACGAACACUCGGGAACUUUUAGAACUGGAGAGUGUGAUCUUCUUCGCGUAGAACACUUGGGAUUUAUCUUUCAUUCUCCUCCCUAUACCGUGGGAUAUGUUUCAUCUCCUUUAAAUUUAGUACCGUGUUAAAAACAUCAAAAUCAAGAGAGUUUCGGCCCAAACAAUUGGACUGAAGUUCAUUCCUGCAAA